rnacentral:sRNA from 1 species
GCCGGGCGCCGUGGCGCAUGCCCGUAAUCCCAAUGGUUUGGGAGGCUGAGGCAGGAGGAUCGUGAAUUCAAAGCCAGGCUCAGCAACUUAACAAGGCGCUAAGCAACUCAGUGAGACCCUGUCUCAC